UGGGGAAUUUUGGACAAUGGGCGAAAGCCUGAUCCAGCAAUGCCGCGUGUGUGAAGAAGGCCUUCGGGUUGUAAAGCACUUUUGUCCGGGAAAAGAAAUCCUUGGCUCUAAUACAGUCGGGGGAUGACGGUACCGGAAGAAUAAGCACCGGCUAACUACGUGCCAGCAGCCGCGGUAAUACGUAGGGUGCAAGCGUUAAUCGGAAUUACUGGGCGUAAAGCGUGCGCAGGCGGUUUGCUAAGACCGAUGUGAAAUCCCCGGGCUCAACCUGGGAACUGCAUUGGUGACUGGCAGGCUAGAGUAUGGCAGAGGGGGGUUAGAAUUCCACGUGUAGCAGUGAAAUGCGUAGAGAUGUGGAGGAAUACCGAUGGCGAAGGCAGCCCCCUGGGCCAAUACUGACGCUCAUGCACGAAAGCGUGGGGAGCAAACAGGAUUAGAUACCCUGGUAGUCCACGCCCUAAACGAUGUCAACUGUUGUGGGGAUUCAUUCCUUAGUAACGUAGCUAACGCGUGAAGUUGACCGCCUGGGGAGUACGGUCGCAAGAUUAAAACUCAAAUGAAUUGACGGGGUCAUAGCUGUUUCC
rnacentral:rRNA from 1 species